UACGUAGGGUCCGAGCGUUGUCCGGAUUUAUUGGGCGUAAAGAGCUCGUAGGCGGCUUGUCGCGUCGAAUGUGAAAUCUCAGGGCUCAACUCUGACAUUGCAUUCGAUACGGGCAGGCUCGAGUCGGUAGGGGAGACUGGAAUUCCUGGUGUAGCGGUGAAAUGCGCAGAUAUCAGGAGGAACACCGGUGGCGAAGGCAGCACUCUGGGACGGUACU
rnacentral:rRNA from 1 species